CCCACUGACUGAGCCACCCAGGAACCCCUAUUAGGUAUCAUUUGUAUUGAAAGUGUUUAUAGAUCUAAUACAGAAGGUCAACUGCAGAGAUUUCCUAGAGGUAAGUUGUAAAAUGAAAUAACGGAAACUCCAACAAAUGUUUUAACUUUUCUUUCAUUUCUGUUUGACUUCUGAACCUAUGAUGAUUCCAUCAGAAUAUUCCAGAGUUGUGAAUGUACCUAAUUCAUUUCUUUCGUACUAGCAUUCUAGCUUUGAGUAAGUUAUAAUUAUGGACACUUUAGUAUAAGGCAGAGACUUGUGCUCCCUGUGCAAUUCUGGCUUCCAUUUCUGGCUCACUGCCACUCUCUCCUGUGGCAAAGACCCAGAAGCCUGGGAACAGAAGAAAUACACUAUCAGUUCUCAUCACACCAACCUGGCUUUUUGCCACUUUCAGCUGAGAGCACCUGAAAAAUAACAACCAGGUUAGCUGCCAUUUUAUUGACCUGGGGAAAAGGAAAAAGCCAAAUGGGCAAACUAUUCCUUAUUUAAACCGAAUUCAGUUCAAUCCAUCACACAUUUUUGAAAGCGCGUUCUGUGACUGGCACAAAGCAUGCAGAAAUGAACAGGGGUUUGCUUCAGACGAGGCAGGUGCUUACAAUAUAUCGCGAUUAGGGAGCUUUCAGUUGUAUGUACAGAUAAGCAGUAGUGUCUCAUUAUUACCCCAAUGAGAGGAUCAUUUGUCCAUCCGUAUUAGACCUCACAGCCCCUUUGUUAUGUCAGAACUUGGCAUGAAACACUGAAUGCUCUCUGCAGUUCCACAGAGGGCACUAGAACAGCCAGUAGGAAGUGGUGGACUUUUCUAACAGUCUUGCACUCUUGGAGUGUCUGGCAGCCAAUGACAUUAAAGGUAUUAACAGUCUAACCCUCUUAGGUUUGGGAUUGGCAGGACACCAUUUUACUAGUUAGUAGAAAACCCGCUAAUACAAAGACUGUUUAAAAAUAUCAAUAGCGAACUUGCAUGAGGAGCUGUCAUGGUAAGAAGCCAUCCUUGCAGACCAGGGAACAGAGGAACUACUGAUCAUUUAUCAUUCUACCACCUGCCUCCUCUUAUCACAUUUUCACAAUCUAGAGUGUGAAAAGAAAUCUAGGCAUCAUAAGACAUAAUAACUCCCAGUACAGUUUCUCUUUCAAAGAAUUGAAUGGCAAUUCCCUGCCAUAGCAAGAGAAGAUUUAAAGAUACAGAUGUGUGCAAGCUCUUUGGGAAGCUGUUACGUGACCUCUAAGGUGCAGUGAUCUUUUGCUUGUACUAGCUACCUCCCUAUUCAGCGUACCCACAGGAUGCUGUGUGAAGUUCUGGAUAGAUGGAAAAAAUGUCAUGUCUGAAAGUAUAGAUUCUGGCAUCAGACUGCCCGAACUUGAAUUCUUGCUCUGCCCUUUUACUAGCAAUGUGACUGAGAGUGGGAUGCUAUAAACCGGAGCUGACACUACCAGCAAAAGGACUCCAGCAGUUUCUAGAGAAACUACGACGUGAAGAGGGGGAAAAAGAUGGAACCCGUGAGCCAUACCUACCUCUACAACCUCUGCCAAUGCCUGCAGCUCCAGAAUCUUCACUUCCCUGGCUGGGCCCAGGCAAGUUUUGUGCUUAAUUUGGGACAACAGAAUGGAGGAAAAAAGGACUUUUAGGAUCAGUGGGUCCAUUUCUGCAAAAUGGCAGAGGAACUAUUGAUACAGUUGCAUUGGAUAUGUAAAUCAUUGGGAUUCCCAGCUGAGGGAGCCAGUGACCUAAUUCUGCUCAGUUCUAAUGCAACACGGGAGUGAAUUCAGAAUAUCUCGGUACUGGCCUUGCUGGGAUUGCAGAACCCCAAAGUCAUUCUCCUGAUGCAGAGAUGCCACCAGAAUCAAACAGGCCACAAGUUUGCUAACCUGAAGGUCAAUCCUCUGUAAGAACUCCUGCAGAGUCUUGGGUUUUUCCUUUCCACUCCUUCGGUGUGCCUUUAUUUUCUUGGGGGCUGCUUCCUCUUCUGAGAUGACAUCCACAUAAAUAAAUUUGAAGUUUCCCACCUUA